rnacentral:lncRNA from 1 species
UUUGUUAUUAACAUGGAAGAAGGUAAUGUAAAGAAGGAACUGAAUAUAGUUAUUAAUAAUGAUAUUAGUGAUAAAAGAACAAAUGACAAUAUUCAUAAUAUUACCACUCAUAAUUAUAACACAAACGAUUAUAUUAAUGAUAAUAGAAGUAAAUACGUUAUAAAUGAAAAUAAAUAUGAUAAUAAUAAGUAUGAUAAUAAUAAAAGUGAUAAUAAUAAGUAUGAUAAUAAUAAAAGUGAUAAUAAUAAAAGUGAUAAUAAUAAAAGUGAUAAUAAUAAAAGUGGUAAUAAUAAAAGUGGUAAUAAUAAGGAUAGUAAUAAUAAGGAUAGUAAUAAUAAGGAUAGUAAUAGUACAACAAAAAAUGACUGGAGUAACGAUGCUUUAAUAAACGUACCCCAUAAUAAUAGUAAUUAUUGUAAUGUUAAAAACUUAAACGAAUUUAAUAGUUCAAAUAUGUCGAUAUUAUGUAACAGUGAAAAGGAAAUGAAAAUGGAAGACGUUAUAGGAGAGGCAGUACAAUUGGAUUAUAAAUGGAAAAUUGAAAAUGACGAAAAAAUAGGAGAGAGAAGUGAUACAACAGUAAAUGACAGUUGUAGCGAAGUUGAUAAUUUUAUUAUAAAUAAUCAUAGUAACACAACAAAUGAUCCAACUGAAAAGAGUGAUGUAAAUAUAUAUAACGAAUUAAAUAUAUCUUUAAAUAACACAAGAGGUAACAACAAUUCUAUUAAUAAAAAUGAACAACAUAUUUUAAAUUCUGACAUAAAAAAAAAAGAUAAUAAUAAUAAUAAUGAUAAUAUUGCUGCAUCAAUUUCAGAAAAUUGUUAUGAACUUAAUUUUUCAGAUAAUUCAAUAGACUCUAAUAAAAUUACAUUAACAGCGUUGCUAAAUGAAAAUAAAGUUUUAACAGAAUUGUUGAAUAAAAAAAAAAAAGAAUAUGAAACGAUAAUAAUAAAUAAUAAAAAAAUAAAAAACGAAUUUUGUGAUUAUACUAAUAAUAGUUUUUUUACGGAAGAUAAAACAUUUUUAAAUAAUGGUGGAUCCAUAUGUAAUGUAAGAGAUGGUACGGAACAAUUGGAGAUUGUGAGUGACUAUAAUAUGACCAUACCUGGAGGUGUACAUGAUGCUGUAUAUACGGGAGGACCUGCUCCUACACAUGUUCCUAUAUCUACAAAUAAAAACACAAAUAUAUACAAUGAGCAAGUAAAAACAUUUAAUAAAAGUUCCUACGAAAUAAGAAAACAACUUUUUCAUUUAUUAAGUGAAAAAAAAAAAAAAAAAAAAAAAAAAAAUCUCUUGAAUAAAAAAAACAUAUUGCAUAAAAAAAACCUAUUGAAUGAAAAAAACCUAUUGAAUGAANNNNNNNNNNUAUUGAAUAAAAUGUAUUUACACAAUUGGUAUAAUAAUAUGAUGAGAGACAACAUAUAUAAUAAAAAUUGGAUCCACCAAAAUCGAAUAUUAUCUUUAUCUGAUAACUGUUAUAAUGGAAAAAAUGGAUAUAGAAAUAAAAAACUCUGUUGUAAUAACAACAAAUGUAAGAAACGAGAAAAAAAAAGGAAAAUGCUUGAAAGUAUCAAUAACAAAUUAGUUAAUAUGCGUAAAUGGGGAAAAAAUAAUUCAAUAAAAAAAAAGUUAUGGAAAAAAUUUACAAAAUAUACUUUUUUGUUAAUGAAAAAUCAAAUAAAAAAGAUUAAUAACAACGAACCGUUUACUUAUGUAUCAAAUAAGGGUUAUAAAAAAAAAAAAUUAAAUGAUAUAAAUAAUGUUAACAACAAUAUAUGUGAAUAUAAAGAUUGUUAUUGUAUGAAAAGAAGAAAUUUUUAUAAGGAUGCAAAACAAUAUAUGUCAAACAACACGUCUAAUAAUGACAAUUGUACAAACAUACAAGAUAGUGUUUCACACUUAGAAGAAGAUAUUAAUUAUAGUAAUAAUGUUAGUGAUGAUACAAUAAUAACACAUAACAAUGAUAAUGUUAAUAAUACAUCUUUAAAAAAAAAUAGAUCUUGUGAAAUUUAUAAAUGGGGUAAUAAUUCAUUUGAACAAAAUUCUAAAACCAACAUAUCUAUACAUUCUAAUUACUACUCAGAUGUGAAUAAAAGUAAUGUGUUACAUAGGGACAAAAUUAAUUUAAAAAGUGACUAUUUUAAUAAAGAAGAUCACGAUGUUUUACCAGUUGACAACAGAUUAUCAAAUAACAUAUUACUUGAUAAAAGAGAAGAUUAUAAAUUAAAAGAGUGUAAUUUAGAAAAGUAUAACUUGUUAGAGUAUGAUUUACUAAAGAAGAAAAAAAAACAUGUUUCAAAUGAACAUGUUUUAAGUAAACAGGAAUCAUAUAGAUAUUCUUUUACUUCACCUAUUUUGCCGUUUUAUAAUUCAAAGAAUAUAUUUACAAACGAACUACAUAAAAAUAGAAACUAUCAGUCCUAUAGUAGCAAUCAGUAUACUCAUAGUAGGUAUAGUAAUUAUAGUAAACAUGGUAACUAUACAGAUGAACAUUUAUAUAAAGUUUUUGAGUAUCAAAACGAAUUUGUUAAUCCACUACCUUCGAACUAUAUAGACGUAAAAAUACACGCACCUGUGUUACUAUCGAACAAAAUAAAUCCAUAUCUUACUAAACAAGACGGCCAUAAAAAAAGUAAAACGAAUAAGAUGCACAAAACGAACAAGACGCACAAAACGAACAAGAGAAAACGGAAAUUGCAAGGAGACAAGUAUGAAGAAAUGUAUAAACAAAUGUAUGCGCAGAUGCAUGAACAUGCAUGUAACCAGAUUCUUGAUCAUAUACAUGGAUUUUGUCAUAAUAUGCAUAAAAAUGUACAAGGGCAUGUGCAUAAAACUACGCACAANNNNNNNNNNCGCACAAAAAUAUGCAUAAAAAUGUACAGGGGCAUGUGCAUAAAACUGCGCACAAAAAUAUGCAUAAAAAUGUACAGGGACAUGUACAUGGGCAUGUGCACGGAAAAGAGAAACGAUUGAGCUAUGACAGCCAAAAAACAGAAGAUAAAAAAUGGGGAAAUAAAAAAGUUAGUACAUUAUACA